UACGUAGGUGGCAAGCGUUGUUCGGAAUUAUUGGGCGUAAAGGGCUCGUAGGUGGCCAACUAAGUCAGACGUGAAAUCCCUCGGCUUAACCGGGGAACUGCGUCUGAUACUGGAUGGCUUGAGUUCGGGAGAGGGAUGCGGAAUUCCAGGUGUAGCGGUGAAAUGCGUAGAUAUCUGGAGGAACACCGGUGGCGAAGGCGGCAUCCUGGACCGACACUGACGCUGAGGAGCGAAAGCCAGGGGAGCAAAGCGGG
rnacentral:rRNA from 1 species